UCCUCUCACUGUGACCUGAACUUUUCUUGUACUGUGAAUUCAGGAUCCAAGGACUGCAGAGGCUCUAAAAAUGAACUUUGCCCCAGGACCAGUGAUUGUACUAGUCUUAAUGUUUGGAGGAAGCAAUGGAGACUCGGUGAUCCAGACAGAAGAACAAAUGACCCUCUCUGAAGGGACUUCCCUGACUGUGAACUGUUCCUAUGAAAGCUCACAGUACCCAGCCCUAUUCUGGUAUGUUCAAUACCCUGGAGAAGGUCCACAGCUCCUCUUGAAAGCCUUGAAGGCCAAUGAUAAGGGAAGCGAGAAAGGUUUUGAAGCCACAUACAAGAAAGAAACCACCUCCUUCCACCUGGAGAAAGCCUCUGUCCAAGAGUCAGACUCGGCUGUGUACUACUGUGCUCUGAGUGACACAGUGGCAGAAACUGCAGGGGGAGCUGAGCACAAACUCUGAGCAGUACCCAGGGGCCUGGCUGCUGAGCAUUUGCCUCUGGAAUCACUUUGGU